rnacentral:rRNA from 1 species
UAGGGAAUCUUCGGCAAUGGACGGAAGUCUGACCGAGCAACGCCGCGUGAGUGAAGAAGGUUUUCGGAUCGUAAAGCUCUGUUGUUAGAGAAGAACGUUGGUAGGAGUGGAAAAUCUACCAAGUGACGGUAACUAACCAGAAAGGGACGGCUAACUACGUGCCAGCAGCCGCGGUAAUACGUAGGUCCCGAGCGUUGUCCGGAUGUAUUGGGCGUAAAGCGAGCGCAGGCGGUUCUUUAAGUCUGAAGUUAAAGGCAGUGGCUUAACCAGUGUACGCUUUGGAAACUGGAGGACUUGAGUGCAGAAGGGGAGAGUGGAAUUCCAUGUGUAGCGGUGAAAUGCGUAGAUAUAUGGAGGAACACCGGUGGCGAAAGCGGCUCUCUGGUCGGUAACUGACGCUGAGGCUCGAAAGCGUGGGGAGCAAACAGG